rnacentral:rRNA from 1 species
GGUUGAUCCUGCCAGUAGUCAUAUGCUUGUCUCAAAGAUUAAGCCAUGCAUGUCUAAGUACAAACCUUAGUAUGGUGAAACCGCGAAUGGCUCAUUAAAUCAGUUACGGUUCAUUGGAUGUUGAGCAAUUACAUGGAUAACUGUGGUAAUUCUAGAGCUAAUACAUGCCGAAAAGCCGCGCAAGCGGUGCAUUUAUUAGACCAAGACCAAGGGGGCAGCAAUGUCUCUGUCGGUGGUGACUCUGGAUAACUUUCGCUGACCGCAUGGCCUUGUGCCGGCGGUAUAUCCUUCG